AAGAGAAUGAAGUUUCUGAAAGAAGCUGCUAACUAUCUUUCAAGGCAGUUAAAAUCUGUCUUUCUCUUA
rnacentral:tRNA from 1 species